rnacentral:rRNA from 1 species
CCUACGGGAGGCAGCAGUGGGGGAUAUUGCACAAUGGGGGGAACCCUGAUGCAGCGACGCCGCGUGGGUGAAGAAGCGCCUCGGCGCGUAAAGCCCUGUCAGCAGGGAAGAAAAUGACGGUACCUGAAGAAGAAGACCCGGCUAACUCCGUGCCAGCAGCCGCGGUAAUACGUAGGGGGCAAGCGUUAUCCGGAUUUACAGGGUGUAAAGGGGGCGCAGACGGCGAUGCAAGCCAGGAGUGAAAGCCCGGGGACCAACCCCGGGACUGCUCUUGGAACUGCGUGGCUGGAGUGCAGGAGGGGCAGGCGGAAUUCCUGGUGUAGCGGUGAAAUGUGUAGAUAUCAGGAGGAACACCGGUGGCGAAGGCGGCCUGCUGGACUGCAACUGACGUUGAGGCCCGAAAGCGUGGGGAGCAAACAGGAUUAGAUACCCCAGUAGUC